GAUGAACGCUAGCUACAGGCUUAACACAUGCAAGUCGAGCGACUGGGGCACGGGAGAGUAACAAGUGCCCAACUUGCCUGUUACUCGGGGAGAGCCUUCCGAUAGAAAGAUUAACACCCGACAAAAAGGACGGGGAUGCGUUCCAUUAGGUUGUUGGUGAGGUAUCGGCCCACCAAGCCUUCGAUGGAUAGGGGUUCUGAGCGGAAGGUCCCCCACAUUGGAACAGAGACACGGACCAAACUCGUACGGGAGGCAGGAGUGAGGAAUAUUGGGCAGGGAGCGCUAGCCUGAACCAGCCAAGUAGCGUAAAGGGUGAAGGCUUAUGAGUCGUAAACUUCUUUUAUAUAAGAAUAUGUAUUAUAUGAAUAAGGAUCGGCUAACUCCGUGCCAGCAGCCGCGGUAAUAC
rnacentral:rRNA from 1 species